rnacentral:rRNA from 1 species
GACGAACGCUGGCGGCGUGCUUAACACAUGCAAGUCGAACGGAAAGGCCCUGCUUUUGUGGGGUGCUCGAGUGGCGAACGGGUGAGUAACACGUGAGUAACCUGCCCUUGACUUUGGGAUAACUUCAGGAAACUGGGGCUAAUACCGGAUAGGAGCUCCUGCUGCAUGGUGGGGGUUGGAAAGUUUCGGCGGUUGGGGAUGGACUCGCGGCUUAUCAGCUUGUUGGUGGGGUAGUGGCUUACCAAGGCUUUGACGGGUAGCCGGCCUGAGAGGGUGACCGGCCACAUUGGGACUGACAGACGGCCCACACUCCUACAGGAGGCAGCAGUGGGGAAUAUUGCACAAUGGGCGGAAGCCUGAUGCAGCAACGCCGCGUGCGGGAUGACGGCCUUCGGGUUGUAAACCGCUUUCGCCUGUGACGAAGCGUGAGUGACGGUAAUGGGUAAAGAAGCACCGGCUAACUACGUG